GGAAAGUGGCUCAGUGGUAGAGCGCUUGCCUCGCAUGCAUGAGGCCCUGGGUUCGAUUCCUCAGUACCA
rnacentral:tRNA from 1 species